AAACUUAGGCUAAUGUA
rnacentral:tRNA from 3 species